rnacentral:rRNA from 1 species
UUUAAUUGUAAAAUUUUUUUGUUUUUAUUUUUAUAUGUUGUUUUUAUUUUUUUUGUUAUAUUUAUUAAAUUAGGUAGUAAUAGUUAUGAUCUUGAAACUUUAAGAAUUUGACGGUAAUUCAUUCAAUUUAGAGGAACUUGUUUUUUAAUUGAUAAUCCACGAUAUAAAUUACCUAUUUUAUUUGUUUGUAUACCGUCGUUUUAAAAAAAUUUUUUAAGGAUAAAUAAUUUUUAAAAUAUAAUUUAUUUUUAUAUAAAUUCAGAUCAAGGUGCAGCUAUUUAUUUAGGUUAAAAUGAGUUACAAUAAUUUUAAUUUAUACGGAUUUUAAGUAUUAAUAUUUAAAUUAAGGUGGAUUUAAAAGUAAAAUUAAAUAAUUAUUUAAUUUGAGAUUUGUUUUGAAUUAUGU